UUGGAGCCUGAUAUCAGGCAAGAUCCCGCUGAACUUAAGCAUAUCAAUAAGCGGAGGA
rnacentral:rRNA from 1 species